rnacentral:rRNA from 1 species
AUACGUAGGGGGCGAGCGUUGUCCGGAAUGAUUGGGCGUAAAGGGCGCGUAGGCGGCCCGGUAAGUCUGGAGUGUAAGUCCUGUUUUUAAGAUGGGAAUUGCUUUGGAUACUGUCGGGCUUGAGUGCAGGAGAGGUAAGUGGAAUUCCCAGUGUAGCGGUGAAAUGCGUAGAGAUUGGGAGGAACACCAGUGGCGAAGGCGACUUACUGGACUGUAACUGACGCUGAGGCGCGAAAGUGUGGGGAGCAAACAGGAUUAGAUACCCUGGUAGUCCACACUGUAAACGAUGAAUGCUAGGUGUAGGGGGUAUCGACCCCUUCUGUGCCGCAGUCAACACAAUAAGCAUUCCGCCUGGGGAGUACGGCCGCAAGGUUGAAACUCAAAGGAAUUGACGGGG